CUUGGUCAUUUAGAGGAAGUAAAAGUCGUAACAAGGUCUCCGUUGGUGAACCAGCGGAGGGAUCAUUACAGAGUUGCAAAACUCCCUAAACCAUUGUGAACGUUACCUUCAAACCGUUGCUUCGGCGGGCGGCCCGGGUCCGCCCGGUGCCCCCUGGCCCCCUUGCGGGGCGCCCGCCGGAGGAAAACCCAACUCUUGAUUAUUAUGGCCUCUCUGAGUCUUCUGUACUGAAUAAGUCAAAACUUUCAACAACGGAUCUCUUGGUUCUGGCAUCGAUGAAGAACGCAGCGAAAUGCGAUAAGUAAUGUGAAUUGCAGAAUUCAGUGAAUCAUCGAAUCUUUGAACGCACAUUGCGCCCGCCAGUAUUCUGGCGGGCAUGCCUGUUCGAGCGUCAUUUCAACCAUCAAGCCCCAGGCUUGUGUUGGGGACCUGCGGCUGCCGCAGGCCCUGAAAACCAGUGGCGGGCUCGCUGUCACACCGGGCGUAGUAGAUUUUAUCUCGCUCUGGGCGUGCUGCGGGUUCCGGCCGUUAAAAAACCUAUUUUACCCAAGGUUGACCUCGGAUCAGGUAGGAAUACCCGCUGAACUUAAGCAUAUCAAUAAGCGGAGG
rnacentral:rRNA from 1 species